GAAUUUUAUAUUUUAAUAUGUAAUAAUAUAUAAUUAAAAUAUUUUAUUGGGAGGAUAUUUAAAUUUAAUAAACUUUAAUUAUUAAUAACAUGGAUGAAUGAAAAUUUUAAAAAAUAAUUAAUAUUUAAGAAUAAAUGAAUAAUUAUGAAUUAUUAAAGAAUUAAUUACCUUAGGGAUAACAGCAUAAUAUUUUUUUGUAGUUCAUAUAUAAAAAAAUGCUUGU
rnacentral:rRNA from 1 species